rnacentral:rRNA from 1 species
GAUAGAGGUAGUAACUGGCCUUUACUUGACGGUACCUCACCAGAAAGCCACGGCUAACUACGUGCCAGCAGCCGCGGUAAUACGUAGGUGGCAAGCGUUGUCCGGAAUUAUUGGGCGUAAAGCGCGCGCAGGCGGUCCCUUAAGUCUGAUGUAGAAAGCCCACGGCUCAACCGUGGAGGGUCAUUAGGAAACGUGGGGGACUUGAGUGCAGAAGAGGAAAGUGGAAUUCCACGUGUAGC